CCACUGCCCCUUCCUUUGCCGCCCCAAGCCUCAAGAACACUGCGUAGGGUUCUCCCAGCUCCCCCAAUUCCGUCGGCAUGCCGCAAGGAGAUUACAUAGAGCUCCACAGGAAGCGCCAUGGCUACCAGUUCGACCAUUUCGAUCGGAAGCGGAAGAAGGAGGCUCGGGAAGUCCACGAGAGUUCAGAUUAUGCCCAAAAGGCUCUUGGUAUUAAAGGGAAGAUGUUUGCCAAGAAACGGUAUGCAGAGAAGGCGCUGAUGAAGAAGACGCUUGCUAUACAUGAGGAAUCAUCAUCUAGGAGGAAGGUAGAUGAACCAGUUCAUGAAGGAGCUGUUCCUGCAUAUCUUCUGGAUCGUGAUGUUACAACACGUGCGAAGGUUCUUAGCAACACUAUUAAGCAAAAGAGGAAGGAAAAGGCUGGCAAGUGGGAGGUCCCACUUCCAAAGGUUAGGCCUGUGGCUGAAGAUGAGAUGUUUAGAGUUGUUCGUUCUGGCAAGCACAAAACGAAGCAAUGGAAGAGAAUGGUCACCAAAGUCACACGUGUAGGAACAGAGUUUACAAGAAAACCACCAAAAUAUGAGCGUUUUAUCCGUCCAAUGGGAUUGAGGUUUACGAUAGCGAAUGUGACACAUCCUGAACUUAAAUGCACCUUCAAUCUGGAUAUAAUUGGGAUAAAGAAAAAUCCAAAUGGUCCAAUGUACACGUCUCUUGGUGUUGUGACAAAGGGAACUAUCAUUGAGGUGAAUGUGAGCGAACUUGGUCUGGUUACACCUGGAGGGAAAGUUGUAUGGGGGAAAUAUGCUCAAGUCACAAAUGAUCCAGAGAAUGAUGGUUGUAUAAAUGCAGUUCUGCUUGUCUGAAGACUAAGACUGCUCUCACCGCUUUCUGAAGCUGUUGGUAGAAGCGAGACAAGUUGACCAGCUUAUCUGAAAGCUCAACCCAUACUGACCAACGUUGAGAGUCAAGUAGCCACCUUUAUAGUAAUAGCGGGCCGACAGAGCAGCGGAAAAGAAUUGGGCAGGGAACCACUCAUUUUAUUAAAAGAGAAUUGGCUUUGGACUAGCAAGUACAAAAUGGGAAAUGAAAAGAAACCGAAGGAUUACUUCUUUCAAGACUAAAUUUGAUCUUUUCCUUGACUUUCUUUGGGACAUAAGGUACUUCUUAUAACUUUUUGUCUUGUUUGUUCAACACAUCGUAAGACUUGCAUUGGGCCUGAGCAAAAUAUUCCAAACUUAUGACUGAAACUAGGAUAUCCAUCCAGCCUUAAUCUCAUUUUGGAGUGGGGAUUUCCCGAGGUCGUCAAAGUCCUUGAUGUUGAAUAACUGACCAGAAGCGGACUAGACCACUCCUCUGGCCAACAGAAGCGGUGGAGAAAGAUGGUUCAUGCAUUAUGGGUCGUUCCAAAAAUUCUUUCUUAUGGACAUCAUUCUCAGGAGCAUCCGAUUCUGAGAGAGGACGUCCAGUUAUUGGUACCCAAGGCUGGAAUCAACCGAACAAUAUCGGGACCCAUCCUCAAAAGUAAGCAGAGUGACACGUGCUUGGACGAGCUAGAGAGAGAGAGAGAGAAAGGAAAAAAAAAGAGGGACAUCUGGUGGCUUAUACCGAAGAAGGAUAAAAAAAAAAAAAGGGACAUCUGGUGGCUCCCUCAACAUAGAAGAUAACGGUGGAGAAAGCUAGUGGCCCUAGGAAUCCCAAAGUUUGAAUGGGAUGCUUCCAGAGAACAAUUUCUGGUCGACAAGCGGCCGAAGGCCUAGAUCAUCGAAUGCUGCUCUAAAGAUGGAGACGGUUCCAGAGAUGGAUACAUUGGAACAAAGAAAUUCUUGACCUCCUAGCCGUGACUUUUCUUGGUCCCUGCUGCAGAAUGAUCGUGACCUUUGUAGAUGUUCUUGUGCGAAGGACAUGGGUCGCUAUCUGUUUGGCAGAUCAAUCUAAUAAUAUAAUUUUGUAGACUCAAAUAUACACUAGCACUAUAAUUUGUUUUGUCUUCGCUUUGUUUAAUCACAUCCAUUUGUUGUUUGAUGAGAACAAUAAAAGCAAAAGGAUGACAUUAUUUUGAGAAUGGCGGGUGAAUGAUUUUUUUGGUUUGAGUCAAUUAUUUACUAAU